GGAAACGAUGUGGGAAGGCCCAGACAGCCAGGAUGUUGGCUUAGAAGCAGCCAUCAUUUAAAGAAAGCGUAAUAGCUCACUGGUCGAGUCGGCCUGCGCGGAAAUGUAACGGGGCUAAACCAUGCACCGAAGCUGCGGCAGCGACACUAUGUGUUGUUGGGUAGGGGAGCGUUCUGUAAGCCUGUGAAGGUGGCCUGUGAGGGGUGCUGGAGGUAUCAGAAGUGCGAAUGCUGACAUAAGUAACGAUAAAGCGGGUGAAAAGCCCGCUCGCCGGAAGACCAAGGGUUCCUGUCCAACGUUAAUCGGGGCAGGGUGAGUCGACCCCUAAGGCGAGGCCGAAAGGCGUAGUCGAUGGGAAACAGGUUAAUAUUCCUGUACUUGGUGUUACUGCGAAGGGGGACGGAGAAGGCUAUGUUGGCCGGGCGACGGUUGUCCCGGUUUAAGCGUGUAGGCUGGUUUUCCAGGCAAAUCCGGAAAACCAAGGCUGAGGCGUGAUGACGAGGCACUACGGUGCUGAAGCGACAAAUGCCCUGCUUCCAGGAAAAGCCUCUAAGCAUCAGGUAACAUCAAAUCGUACCCCAAACCGACACAGGUGGUCAGGUAGAGAAUACCAAGGCGCUUGAGAGAACUCGGGUGAAGGAACUAGGCAAAAUGGUGCCGUAACUUCGGGAGAAGGCACGCUGAUAUGUAGGUGAAGCGACUUGCUCGUGGAGCUGAAAUCAGUCGAAGAUACCAGCUGGCUGCAACUGUUUAUUAAAAACACAGCACUGUGCAAACACGAAAGUGGACGUAUACGGUGUGACGCCUGCCCGGUGCCGGAAGGUUAAUUGAUGGGGUUAGCGGUAACGCGAAGCUCUUGAUCGAAGCCCCGGUAAACGGCGGCCGUAACUAUAACGGUCCUAAGGUAGCGAAAUUCCUUGUCGGGUAAGUUCCGACCUGCACGAAUGGCGUAAUGAUGGCCAGGCUGUCUCCACCCGAGACUCAGUGAAAUUGAACUCGCUGUGAAGAUGCAGUGUACCCGCGGCAAGACGGAAAGACCCCGUGAACCUUUACUAUAGCUUGACACUGAACAUUGAGCCUUGAUGUGUAGGAUAGGUGGGAGGCUUUGAAGUGUGGACGCCAGUCUGCAUGGAGCCGACCUUGAAAUACCACCCUUUAAUGUUUGAUGUUCUAACGUUGGCCCGUAAUCCGGGUUGCGGACAGUGUCUGGUGGGUAGUUUGACUGGGGCGGUCUCCUCCUAAAGAGUAACGGAGGAGCACGAAGGUUGGCUAAUCCUGGUCGGACAUCAGGAGGUUAGUGCAAUGGCAUAAGCCAGCUUGACUGCGAGCGUGACGGCGCGAGCAGGUGCGAAAGCAGGUCAUAGUGAUCCGGUGGUUCUGAAUGGAAGGGCCAUCGCUCAACGGAUAAAAGGUACUCCGGGGAUAACAGGCUGAUACCGCCCAAGAGUUCAUAUCGACGGCGGUGUUUGGCACCUCGAUGUCGGCUCAUCACAUCCUGGGGCUGAAGUAGGUCCCAAGGGUAUGGCUGUUCGCCAUUUAAAGUGGUACGCGAGCUGGGUUUAGAACGUCGUGAGACAGUUCGGUCCCUAUCUGCCGUGGGCGCUGGAGAACUGAGGGGGGCUGCUCCUAGUACGAGAGGACCGGAGUGGACGCAUCACUGGUGUUCGGGUUGUCAUGCCAAUGGCACUGCCCGGUAGCUAAAUGCGGAAGAGAUAAGUGCUGAAAGCAUCUAAGCACGAAACUUGCCCCGAGAUGAGUUCUCCCUGAGACUUAGAGUCUCCUGAAGGAACGUUGAAGACGACGACGUUGAUAGGCCGGGUGUGUAAGCGCAGCGAUGCGUUGAGCUAACCGGUACUAAUGAACCGUGAGGCUUAACCUU
rnacentral:rRNA from 1 species